GCGUCCAUAGCUCAGCCGGAUAGAGCAUCGGCCUUCUAAGCCGAGGGUCGUAGGUUCGAGUCCUACUGGACGUG
rnacentral:tRNA from 1 species